GGAUUGCAGUGGCAAAGCUAGGCUAGGUCUUGGAGGCUGGUGUAAGGCGAUGUGGGUGAAGGCAGGAGGCUGAUGGAAAGACUGGGGGGAAGAAAAGCCGAAAUGGAUUCACGGUGCCUUGGAUGAAGGACGAGAGGGGAACUGCAAGCUCCUUCAACUGGUUCUGUCCGGUGAGAAGUGAUCAAGCUUGGGCUGACAAGAGGCUCAGGGAGCCCUCACGUUCUUUCGCUUUUUUACCUGCCAAUCAAACUGCUACAAGACAACACCCUGAUCUGGCAUGGACAUUCAUUGCAGUCACCUGGAGUCACGGAAAUGACCAUGAUUGCCUGAACUUUCAUGACUUCUGUGGAUAACUGUGGUUGCAGAAAAGAGAAAACCUGGACCGUGAGGGACAUUUCACUCCCUGGGCUUUGGUUGGAGUGCAGUGGCGCGAUCUUGGCUCACUGCAACCGCCACUUCCCAGGUUCAAGUGGUUCUCCUGCCUCAGCCUCCUGAGUACCUGAAAUUACAGGCGCCCGCCACCACGCCAGUCUCAAUACCUUCACAGAGGUGAAGAAGCAGCAACCAAAUGAAUUAGACAGCAACAUGAUUCCUAGAGAAUGGCAAGACCAAUUCUUCAACUACUUCUUCAGCAUUUCUGAAACAUAUGGAAGAUGGCCCAUUGUGCUCUCUUAAUUCUUUGAUAAUCUGGACAUUGACUUUUCCAUUAUAUGACCUGGGCUUGUGGGCAUCAUGUCAUAAUGCACCUGUUCAGACAUCUCCCUGUACCAAUAUGGAUCACUUGAAGAGACUCCUUUGCCCCCAUCAAAAAGGAUACAGUUGUGUAUCUCUUCCAUUUUUGUUUACAGUGCCUAAAAUUAUUUGAGCAGUUUUUCACCUCUUCUCUGAUAAACACCUUAUUAGUC
rnacentral:lncRNA from 1 species